UCUUAUGGGUAAGCAAAGAAAGUGGUUCUUGAGAUGGAAUUUACUCUGGGUGAAGAUGCUGUGAA
rnacentral:pre_miRNA from 1 species